GUAUCAAAUGAUGUUACAACUAAUAACUUUCGUUCUUCUGAAGUUAUUUGAGGAAAAAUAUUAAUUUACUGAUGAUCA